rnacentral:rRNA from 1 species
CCACCUACGGGACGCAGCAGUGGGGAAUAUUGGGCAAUGGGCGCAAGCCUGACCCAGCAACGCCGCGUGAAGGAAGAAGGCUUUCGGGUUGUAAACUUCUUUUAAGAGGGAAGAGUAGAAGACGGUACCUCUUGAAUAAGCCACGGCUAACUACGUGCCAGCAGCCGCGGUAAUACGUAGGUGGCAAGCGUUGUCCGGAUUUACUGGGUGUAAAGGGCGUGUAGCCGGGCCGGCAAGUCAGAUGUGAAAUCCCAUGGCUCAACCCUUGAACUGCAUUUGAAACUGUCGUUCUUGAGUACUGGAGA